rnacentral:lncRNA from 7 species
AACAAGCACUCGUCUGUACUAUUAUUCCUUCCUUCCUCUUUGGAGCUGUGAAAGGCCACCAGGGCCUGUCUCCAGGACUCUCCCUAUAAAGCAGAAAAAUUUCAUCAGUUUAGUCUAAAAUCAAGAGUAAUUCUGGUUGCUUCAGCUUUCCUAACCAUCAAAAAUGGCUGCACGAAAGGAAGUUCAUCUGGAUCAAGUUCUCAGUCUUACUGCCUGUUCAAGUAAGGAUGGAGGAAAUGCUUCCGGUAUUCCAGGGUUGGUGCCUGAGCUAAAGAGAUAACUGAAGCUGCCAGUCCUGCACACAGAAAGACACAUGGCCAGGGUCCAGCUGGUUGGUUCAUCUGAAGGAGUCCGAGCUCACCUGAGGAUGGGAGGACACACAGGAAAGAGAACAGGUGUUAGAAGGUACCCUGAAAGAGCGAGGAAACAAAUUAAGAAGGAUGAUGAUGACGUUGACGAUGAUGAUUUAUUUAUGAAGAGAAAGACCCUGCCUUUUGACUUUCUUAUUGACAACUUGUUUUGUAUCUAUAUGCUCAGAACUAACCUGACCAAAAGGAUGAGAUGUGAAUUUAUUGUUCUGUCUUCCAGGUUGGGUUGAUAGGGACAACUAGAGGUUCUUUUUUAGUCCUUUCUUCUUUCUUACAGAAGCAAUUAACUUACUAUAAUUAUCAGUAUAUUAACAUCUAUCAAAUUUCCUGCUAUCAUAUGGAACUACAAUAGUUAUCUCUCCUCUCCUAUCUUUUUGUGGCAAAUUAUUAUUUGUUGCCUUGACUUACUUAAAUAAGAAAAAUAAAACACAUCUCCCCACUGAUUACAUGGAGAAAUUUAGGCACUUACUAAUGAGGAUAGGUGCAAUGGUGCUCUACAUUUUGAUACAAGUUAAGUGCCUAGCUUGGGUGAAAUUGAUACCACCCUUAGUCAUUAAUGGAUUAUAAUGAUAUUCAUUUUACUAAAAAGCUCACUUAGAAUUUGAGUUAGCAAAAUCUGCCUGAAUUUCUUAAAAACAGCACAAGUAAUUUGGAUGGCUGUUCUCAUUCAUUUAAAUUAACUCUUGGGCAGUUUCUUCAGGACAGAGGGCAUUGUUCUUUUUCUACAAUGCCUAGCAAUGUAAUCCUAAUUUGUGAGCAGGCUUCCUAUAUGUUCUCUUCAAUAUUUUUAGUACCACAAGUCAUAGUAAAUAAGAUGAUAAAUCUGUUUAUUAGUAGAGGAAAUGUUUUCUCCUGUCAACUGGUCAGGUAGAAAUGGAAAAAACAUUUAAAAACUUAGAGAAGUAUGAAUUUUUAGAUCAUUAACUUGGUUUUAUACUCAAAUCAUUUAACAUUACAGUUUCUGCAGUUUUCAAUUUGAGCAGACGAACAGGUUAAUUUUGUGUCUGAGGUGGUAAAUUUGGCCUCCAUACACCUGUAGCAUAACUUUAAGGAAAAUACAACAUGCAAAACUAACUUAAGAAAUGAUGAGAUAAAAGUGCAUAACACUCAAGUGCUAGGAAAUUGCAAAUACUGCUGUCAAUUCAAAUUUCCUCUGAAAUUCCAAAAGUAUUCUGUGAUGAAAUAAUUAGUUCAAGCAAUCAUGUUUUUAAAAUUUACCUUCACUGGUGUGCAGGCUGGAAAUUAUCAAAUAAAAUGAGCUUCUUAU